rnacentral:rRNA from 1 species
AAACCAACCGGGAUUGCCUUAGUAACGGCGAGUGAAGCGGCAAAAGCUCAAAUUUGAAAUCUGGUACCUUCGGUGCCCGAGUUGUAAUUUGGAGAGGGCAACUUUGGGGCCGUUCCUUGUCUAUGUUCCUUGGAACAGGACGUCAUAGAGGGUGAGAAUCCCGUGUGGCGAGGAGUGCGGUUCUUUGUAAAGUGCCUUCGAAGAGUCGAGUUGUUUGGGAAUGCAGCUCUAAGUGGGUGGUAAAUUCCAUCUAAAGCUAAAUAUUGGCGAGAGACCGAUAGCGAACAAGUACAGUGAUGGAAAGAUGAAAAGAACUUUGAAAAGAGAGUGAAAAAGUACGUGAAAUUGUUGAAAGGGAAGGGCAUUUGAUCAGACAUGGUGUUUUGUGCCCUCUGCUCCUUGUGGGUAGGGGAAUCUCGCAUUUCACUGGGCCAGCAUCAGUUUUGGUGGCAGGAUAAAUCCAUAGGAAUGUAGCUUGCCUCGGUAAGUAUUAUAGCCUGUGGGAAUACUGCCAGCUGGGACUGAGGACUGCGACGUAAGUCAAGGAUGCUGGCAUAAUGGUUAUAUGCCGCCCGUCU